rnacentral:rRNA from 1 species
GACGAACGCUGGCGGCGUGCUUAACACAUGCAAGUCGAACGGAAAGGCCCUGCUCUUGUGGGGUGCUCGAGUGGCGAACGGGUGAGUAACACGUGAGUAAACUGCCCUUGACUUUGGGAUAACUUCAGGAAACUGGGGCUAAUACCGGAUAGGAGCUCCUGCACCAUGGUGGGGGUUGGAAAGUUUCGGCGGUUGGGGAUGGACUCGCGGCUUAUCAGCUUGUUGGUGGGGUAGUGGAUUACCAAGGGUUUGACGGGUAGCCGGCCUGAGAGGGUGACCGGCGACCUUGGGUCUGAGGUACGGCACAGACUCGUACGGGAGGGAGCAGUGGGGAAUAUUGCACAAUGGGCGGAAGCCUGAUGCAGCAACGCCGCGUGCGGGAUGACGGCCUUCGGGUUGUAAAACGCUUUCGCCUGUGACGAAGCGUGAGUGACGGUAAUGGGUAAAGAAGCACCGGCUAACUACGUG